CAAAGGUGUUUACUGAAAUGCCCAAGGACUUGGAUUUAUUUCCAACCCAUCACUUGGUGAUAAACUUCCAUUAUUCAUAAGGCAUGAAGAACAACGCAAAGGCAGAAGUUGAGCUGUCGUCAUGCUGGCAGCACAGCUUUAAGACACCUCUGAGCCUUUAGAGGCUGUGGACCUGGAACCUCUCUUUACAGUCUUCUGAGGGAAUGAAGGAAUACUGCCACAGCACAGGCUUAUGGAAGAGUGGAUGCAUAAGAGGUAAAACGUGUUAUGUACAGCCUGCUCUAAGGCUUUGUGAGAUGAGUGUUGGAAGCUCAAGUGCUCUCUCCAUGUGCCCUAUUUUUUGACCAGAGGCAGGAAGAAAGAAUAAAGUAGGACUUUCCAAGAGUGAUGCUUUCCUGCAGUUCCAAGAACUGGGUCAUGAGUUGAGUUUCAAGCUUGCACCUGAGCAUGUGAUACAGUCAGAGCUGUACAGCUGCAAGCCUGGCUUUCACAAGAAAAAAAGCCUGUUUCCACUGUGGGGGAUUGUAUUUCCUUACAUAAAAGAUGAGAUCCCAUGCUACUCGUCUGGGAGAUAAAUCCUCUCGUGGCUCUGCUUUGACA